GGCUAUUGGGACCUGUGCGACGGAUCCUGGUGAACCCCGCCAGGCCCGAAAGGGAGCAACGGUAGCCAGGCUCUCCGGGUGCCACAGGUAUCCCAAUAGCCCCAUUU
rnacentral:SRP_RNA from 1 species